GACGAACGCUGGCGGCGUGCUUAACACGUGCAAGUCGAACGGAAAGGCCCUGCUUUUGUGGGGUGCUCGAGUGGCGAACGGGUGAGUAACACGUGAGUAACCUGCCCUUGACUUUGGGAUAACUUCAGGAAACUGGGGCUAAUACCGGAUAGGAGCUCCUGCUGCAUGGUGGGGGUUGGAAAGUUUCGGCGGUUGGGGAUGGACUCGCGGCUUAUCAGCUUGUUGGUGGGGUAGUGGCUUACCAAGGCUUUGACAGGUAGCCGGCCUGAGAGGGUGACCGGCCACAUUGGGACUGAGAUACGGCCCAGACUCCUACGGGAGGCAGCAGUGGGGAAUAUUGCACAAUGGGCGGAAGCCUGAUGCAGCAACGCCGCGUGCGGGAUGACGGCCUUCGGGUUGUAAACCGCUUUCGCCUGUGACGAAGCGUGAGUGACGGUAAUGGGUAAAGAAGCACCGGCUAACUACGUG
rnacentral:rRNA from 1 species